UGUUGUUCUCGCACGCGCGCGCGCACGUACGCAUGUAACCGCCAAUUGCAAUAUUUGAAAAAAGAACCCGAUCAACCACUGUUUUGCUGUUCAGAAGUCCGUCUAUAAUUCAUCAUAAACUAAAGGAACACAGGUCAGAUUCGGACAACGACUUCAAAUUCAUUCGCAGAAUACGCUAAACAAUUGGACGACGGAUACACUGGAUGAUAAUAUAGAUGGUCCAGGAUUAUCUGGGAAGGAAACUACAGGUGUUGAACACAGAAAACCGUUUACAAGAAAACAACUGGAGUUUGUGAAAGCUGCAAGAAAUUAAUCUUGCCGGGUACGCAUUCACUUCACCUUGGUCGAGUGCAGCACAGUGGAUAAAUGUGUUGCUGAAGGAAAACACCAUUGCUAGGAUUCAAACCCACGACACUCUGUUGAAAGGUGAGAGUCAGAACCACUAGACCACGACGCACCCACAGUUAACAAGCUGAUGUCAUACUCCCACUUGUUCUUUUGUAUUUUAUAACAAGAAGUCAUGUUUAUUCAUAUUUUGACCUCCAAGAACUAAAAAGUGGAGUGAAGAUUUAUUUAAUGUAAACACAUGCAUUGCUUGAAAUCAUUUUAUGCUACGUGGGACAUAUCAUACACACGUGUACGAAAAUAUGAAAUUAUUAUGAUUUCAUUUUAUAACAUAAGCCUAACACAUAUUCCUGACGAUCAUGUGCACAUUCCAGUAAUUUUUCCCAAAAUGUUGCUAAACCUUCAAAUCAAAGACUUUGUUAUCAGAUUUUAACGAAAUUGUCAACAUUAUGCUUUUCUGAUUAAUUCUCUUCCUACCUAAAUCUUCCCUUUCCUCAUGCUUUCUUUCUAUGGACCCUUCAUUCUCCUUAUAACUAUGUUAUAUGUAAAAUGUAACCGGUCGUCCAACCCAUUUGAUUGAAGGGCUAGGUACUCUAGACUGAAAGUUAUGUGAUUUAAAUUCAAAGAGUACAUCAGACAAAAAAAAACACUGAAAAUUUCAUCAAAAUUGAAUGAGGAUUAACAAAAUUAUGACGAAUUAAAGUUGUUAUUUUUUUAUAAAACUGUUCUCUGCAAGUCCUCAUGAAUAUACAAGAUCCCAAUUUAUAUAUUUUUUUGUAUUAUAUGAAUUCAAAUUUUGUCCAAGCUAGGUUGUAAAAAAUUACGAUUGACUACUGAUAUACUGUGUAAGACAAAAAUUAUAUUAUUUCUCACACAUAGUUGAGUUAUUCAUCUGAUUCAACACAACAAAAAUAGACAAAAAAUAAAUAAGUGGGAAUCUUGUAUAUUUGAACAAUGGGAAAUAGUUAAAAAAUAGAUGUGCUACUAAGAAUUAUUUUCUAUAUGAUUUGCAAAAUAUUAAAAAAAGAUGUCGCUAUUUUUCUUGUUUUUUUUCUAUUUUCAUGAUAUAUUCUUUAUUAUUCUAUUAUUCUAUAUAUUCUAUUUUUGAUAUAGAUAUUAUUUAUUCCUUUAAGUAUCUUUAAUGUAUUUAUGAUAAACUUUUGGCAUGUUUCUACAGAAAAUCAUUAAAAAAGGAUUUAUCUUUUCCGGACUCGAAAAACCUUAUCGCCCUUAAACCAACCUGCUUCUACAAACCAAAUAAUCUGAUUAACUCGCUUUUCGCGUUGCAAAUACGGCGGAAAUCGGAAAAUUCAACCUAUAACCUCACGUUGCAUUGUACAUAUGUCCAAAAUUGCAUCUUCUUAGGAAAAUAUUCCAAAUUUGUGGUAGAUCUCACUCAAUGUAGCAGGUAUACGUGUUGCACGAUCAGCUGGUGAGAUCGAAAAGGCCAGAAUGUGCAAAUUUAUGUACUGCGAAAUUGCACUUUUGGGAUUAAGCACUUCCGCCAGACACGAUACGCUAUUUUGCCGUGUGUUUUUACAGAAAAGUUAAACGGAUUAACAUGGCAAUAACCACCUCUCAGAGAUGGUUAUGAGAAACCAUAUUUUGCUUGAAGCAGUUUAUCAAUAAACCGCAUCGCGUCUGUUUCUACAAAAUUCUACAGGAAAGUUUUCCGGGAUUCUGGAUACUUACGCGGGUAAUACCUUUUAACGAUUCUAUGUAGAAACACGCCAUUUGAUAUAUCUUUUAGGUGAAAAGAAAAUAGAGAAAUAUUAGGAGGUUCUAUUUUUAUGGGGGUACUAUUUUCCCCCCUUUUGGGGAUAUUUAUUUCCUCUAAGUUUGGUACUCUUUACCUUUAAUCAUUUGGCCAUGUGAAGGCUAUCACACAUUUUGAGUUUAAUCUUCGAAAUUUGGUGUUCAUCAGUUUGUUGUCCAAACUCUGUCUUACAUUUAGAUUUGUUUAUAGGAAGAUUAACAUAAUAUCUAUGUGGAGUGCAAUCAUUGACCUCUUGUAGAGUCGUGCAGUCACAUGUAUUCAUAAUGCUGGUGCUUUUAUGCCAUACAUGUACUUGUCAAUACUGGGUUCCACUCUUUUGUACUUGAACUUAUUAGUAAAAAAAAUAUUUUAUUAAUGUCAUUGAAGUAGCUGUGUGAAAGCAAUUACACACAACAGAUUUAAAAUCAAGGUUAUUGUAUUACAAGUAUCAGGUUUGUUUGCAGAACAGUGGUUUUGCCAAGUACUCAAUCCACGUAAAAAGCCAUCAGAGAGAACAUGUUUAUUCUUGGAAAUGUUAUUCAUAUGUUGUGUUUUUCAAUUAAACUCUGUCUUGAUACAUGUUUAUUUUAGAUACCAAGAUUGACAGAGUAUAGAUGUCAACGAGGAGCAAAGUCAUAUAUAUUCAUAACUUAUGUGCUUUAAUUAUAAAGUCUAUACUUGUGAAUGCUGUGUUCCAUUUAUGCUGUACUUAAACUUCUUAUAGUAAAAACAUUUGACGUUCUUGAA